GAUGAACGCUGGCGGCGUGCCUAAUACAUGCAAGUCGAGCGAACAGACGCGGAUCUUGCUCCGUUGACGUUAGCGGCGGACGGGUGAGUAACACGUGGGUAACCUACCUAUAAGACUGGGAUAACUUCGGGAAAGCGGAGCUAAGACCGGAUAAUAUUUCGAACCGGAUGGUUGGAUAGUGAAGGAUGGGUUUGGUAUCACUUAUCGACGGACCUGCGCCGUAUUAGCUAGUUGGUAUGGUAAGGGCUUACCAAGGCAACGAUACGUAACCGACCUGAGAGGGUGAUCGGCCACACUGGAACUGAGACACGGUCCAGACUCCUACGCGAGGCAGCAGUAGGGAAUCGGCCGCAAUGGGCGAAAGCCUGACGGAGCAACGCCGCGUGAGUGAUGAAGGUCUUCGGAUCGUAAAACUCUGUUAGUAGGGAAGAACAAACGUGUAAGUAACUGUGCACGUCUUGACGGUACCUAAUCAGAAAGCCACGGCUAACUACGUG
rnacentral:rRNA from 1 species